GGGGAUAACACUUGGAAACAGGUGCUAAUACCGCAUAACCAUAGUUACCGCAUGGUAACUAUGUAAAAGGUGGCUAUGCUACCGCUUUUGGAUGGGCCCGCGACGCAUUAGCUAGUUGGUGGGGUAAAGGCUUACCAAGGCAAUGAUGCGUAGCCGAACUGAGAGGUUGAUCGGCCACAUUGGGACUGAGACACGGCCCAAACUCCUACGGGAGGCAGCAGUAGGGAAUCUUCCACAAUGGGCGAAAGCCUGAUGGAGCAACGCCGCGUGGGUGAAGAAGGUCUUCGGAUCGUAAAACCCUGUUGUUAGAGAAGAAAGUGCGUGAGAGUAACUGUUCACGUUUCGACGGUAUCUAACCAGAAAGCCACGGCUAACUACGUGCCAGCAGCCGCGGUAAUACGUAGGUGGCAAGCGUUAUCCGGAUUUAUUGGGCGUAAAGAGAACGCAGGCGGUCUUUUAAGUCUGAUGUGAAAGCCUUCGGCUUAACCGGAGUAGUGCAUUGGAAACUGGGAGGCUUGAGUGCAGAAGAGGAGAGUGGAACUCCAUGUGUAGCGGUGAAAUGCGUAGAUAUAUGGAAGAACACCAGUGGCGAAAGCGGCUCUCUGGUCUGUAACUGACGCUGAGGUUCGAAAGCGUGGGUAGCAAACAGGAUUAGAUACCCUGGUAGUCCACGCCGUAAAC
rnacentral:rRNA from 1 species